UGAGAAAUCCUUUCUACAUAUAAAUGCUCCUUCCUAGAUCCUUCUUUACUUCAUAUUUGGUGUUUUGCAAUUUUUCCAAGGUGCACUUUCUGCUAUCCCUUGCAUCACCAGAGCCACAACAACCUAUGGUGUGGGAAGAUUUCUGGAAUCUCUAUGAUCCUCUGUCUUUCCUUACUUUUCCUGACUAUGCCAAGCCUGAAUUACAUGGCUCACCCCACUCUGUGAAUUUUGUUUGGGAAGAUGUAUCACAUUGAAUCUAGAGGACAGAAAAAAAGAAAAAGAAAAUAGCUGAUAUUCACUGAGCACCUGCUAUGUGCUGCCAGAAAUUUCCAAAGAAUUCUACAUAUACCAACAAAUGUAAGACUCAUGAUGACUGUUCAAGAUCAAUGUUUGCAUCACU
rnacentral:lncRNA from 1 species